rnacentral:lncRNA from 1 species
AAAGACUUUGAAUAUUUCAUACAAGUAAUAUAUAUAAUAAUGAAGAGAAAAGAAGAGAGGAACAUACAAAUAUAUAGAAGACUUGGGAGGCGAAGAGGUACACAUGAAACAGAACAUUAAACUUAGGAAUAAAAUGUAAUAAAAAGAAUCACAAGAUGCCUCUUAUUGCUGGAUUCUAAGCAAAACCAACAGAUCAAGGACAUGAGAAUUAAAUAAUAAUAAGCCAAGCAUCAGACUUGCCUAGAGGGCAGAAAAACAAAUAAUGUUCUUUCAACCUUCCUCUCUGCUUGUGGUGUCAACAUCAUUUGGACAUGCCUCCAUCAUCAUGCUGUCUUCUCGAUGAAAAUCCUUGAUCUUGGACCAAAGUAGUGAUGAUGCUGUGUUUGAGAGAGUCAUAGUGAUCUAUUCUGAGGAGUUAUAGAAAGAAAGCUAAGGAAAUAAAAUGGGAAAAGAAACUAUU